rnacentral:rRNA from 1 species
GCGAAUACCGGAGAAUGUUAUCACGGGAGACACACGGCGGGUGCUAACGUCCGUCGUGAAGAGGGAAACAACCCAGACCGCCAGCUAAGGUCCCAAAGUCAUGGUUAAGUGGGAAACGAUGUGGGAAGGCCCAGACAGCCAGGAUGUUGGCUUAGAAGCAGCCAUCAUUUAAAGAAAGCGUAAUAGCUCACUGGUCGAGUCGGCCUGCGCGGAAGAUGUAACGGGGCUAAACCAUGCACCGAAGCUGCGGCAGCGACGCUUAUGCGUUGUUGGGUAGGGGAGCGUUCUGUAAGCCUGCGAAGGUGUGCUGUGAGGCAUGCUGGAGGUAUCAGAAGUGCGAAUGCUGACAUAAGUAACGAUAAAGCGGGUGAAAAGCCCGCUCGCCGGAAGACCAAGGGUUCCUGUCCAACGUUAAUCGGGGCAGGGUGAGUCGACCCCUAAGGCGAGGCCGAAAGGCGUAGUCGAUGGGAAACAGGUUAAUAUUCCUGUACUUGGUGUUACUGCGAAGGGGGGACGGAGAAGGCUAUGUUGGCCGGGCGACGGUUGUCCCGGUUUAAGCGUGUAGGCUGGUUUUCCAGGCAAAUCCGGAAAAUCAAGGCUGAGGCGUGAUGACGAGGCACUACGGUGCUGAAGCAACAAAUGCCCUGCUUCCAGGAAAAGCCUCUAAGCAUCAGGUAACAUCAAAUCGUACCCCAAACCGACACAGGUGGUCAGGUAGAGAAUACCAAGGCGCUUGAGAGAACUCGGGUGAAGGAACUAGGCAAAAUGGUGCCGUAACUUCGGGAGAAGGCACGCUGAUAUGUAGGUGAAGUCCCUUGCGGAUGGAGCUGAAAUCAGUCGAAGAUACCAGCUGGCUGCAACUGUUUAUUAAAAACACAGCACUGUGCAAACACGAAAGUGGACGUAUACGGUGUGACGCCUGCCCGGUGCCGGAAGGUUAAUUGAUGGGGUCAGCGCAAGCGAAGCUCUUGAUCGAAGCCCCGGUAAACGGCGGCCGUAACUAUAACGGUCCUAAGGUAGCGAAAUUCCUUGUCGGGUAAGUUCCGACCUGCACGAAUGGCGUAAUGAUGGCCAGGCUGUCUCCACCCGAGACUCAGUGAAAUUGAACUCGCUGUGAAGAUGCAGUGUACCCGCGGCAAGACGGAAAGACCCCGUGAACCUUUACUAUAGCUUGACACUGAACAUUGAGCCUUGAUGUGUAGGAUAGGUGGGAGGCUUUGAAGUGUGGACGCCAGUCUGCAUGGAGCCGGCCUUGAAAUACCACCCUUUAAUGUUUGAUGUUCUAACGUGGACCCGUGAUCCGGGUUGCGGACAGUGUCUGGUGGGUAGUUUGACUGGGGCGGUCUCCUCCUAAAGAGUAACGGAGGAGCACGAAGGUUGGCUAAUCCUGGUCGGACAUCAGGAGGUUAGUGCAAUGGCAUAAGCCAGCUUGACUGCGAGCGUGACGGCGCGAGCAGGUGCGAAAGCAGGUCAUAGUGAUCCGGUGGUUCUGAAUGGAAGGGCCAUCGCUCAACGGAUAAAAGGUACUCCGGGGAUAACAGGCUGAUACCGCCCAAGAGUUCAUAUCGACGGCGGUGUUUGGCACCUCGAUGUCGGCUCAUCACAUCCUGGGGCUGAAGUAGGUCCCAAGGGUAUGGCUGUUCGCCAUUUAAAGUGGUACGCGAGCUGGGUUUAGAACGUCGUGAGACAGUUCGGUCCCUAUCUGCCGUGGGCGCUGGAGAACUGAGGGGGGCUGCUCCUAGUACGAGAGGACCGGAGUGGACGCAUCACUGGUGUUCGGGUUGUCAUGCCAAUGGCACUGCCCGGUAGCUAAAUGCGGAAGAGAUAAGUGCUGAAAGCAUCUAAGCACGAAACUUGCCCCGAGAUGAGUUCUCCCUGACCCUUUAAGGGUCCUGAAGGAACGUUGAAGACGACGACGUUGAUAGGCCGGGUGUGUAAGCGCAGCGAUGCGUUGAGCUAACCGGUACUAAUGAACCGUGAGGCUUAACCUU